rnacentral:tmRNA from 1 species
GGGGUUGUUUAGUUUCGACAGGUUGUACUUUUCAAAAUAUGCAAGUCGAUUACCGCUGCUGAAUCGUUAAAAGUGUGGCGAAGAUAUAAGUGCAAACUUCAUAUCAAAGGCGAAAGCUACUUUUGCGCAAGCAUUUGCUAGUUUCUCUCCUGCUUUAGCUUAAAGCUCGAAGCCAUCGAACUGCUGAUUUCUCAUAAGCAGAGCUCGGUGUCAAACAUGAGAAUAGCGCUUUGCGGUUUUUCAGACGCAUUGGGCGAAACAACUCUGAAAACGAGUUACGCAGAUUUUGUUUCUUUCUUACUGCGUAUCACUUGUACCCUGAUUUAUCAGGAAUGAAAUAAACUAAACUUGUAGAGGAUUUUGAAUUGAAUGAUUUGGACAUGGGUGCGAAUCCCAUCAACUCCACAC